CCUACGGGAGGCUGCAGUGAGGAAUAUUGGUCAAUGGACGAGAGUCUGAACCAGCCAAGUAGCGUGAAGGAUGACUGCCCUAUGGGUUGUAAACUUCUUUUAUAUGGGAAUAAAAUGUUCCACGUGUGGGAGUUUGUAUGUACCAUAUGAAUAAGGACCGGCUAACUCCGUGCCAGCAGCCGCGGUAAUACGGAGGAUCCGAGCGUUAUCCGGAUUUAUUGGGUUUAAAGGGAGCGUAGGUGGUGUGUUAAGUCAGUUGUGAAAGUUUGCGGCUCAACCGGAAAAUUGCAGUUGAAACUGGCAGUCUUGAGUACAGAAGAGGUGGGCGGAAUUCGUGGUGUAGCGGUGAAAUGCUUAGAUAUCACGAAGAACUCCGAUUGCGAAGGCAGCUCACUGGACUGCAACUGACGCUGAGGCUCGAAAGUGUGGGUAUCAAACAGGAUUAGAUACCCGGGUAGUC
rnacentral:rRNA from 1 species